UUCACUGUGAGGUGAAAUCUGAAGGAAGCAAAUGGCAAAACUUGGUUGUGACGAACAGAAAUCUGAUAGUAGGUCACUACAACUUGGGCAACCUAGCCAUAGAUAGAAUAGCCCAAUGCCUCGACGGGAAGUGUGUAGUGAUAAAUCAGGCACGGCCAAGGGAAAGAGCAACGU
rfam:Vibrio harveyi ATCC BAA-1116 chromosome I, complete sequence.